rnacentral:rRNA from 1 species
AGUGAACGCUGGCGGUAGGCCUAACGCAUGCAAGUCGAACGGCAGCACAGUAAGAGCUUGCUCUUACGGGUGGCGAGUGGCGGACGGGUGAGGAAUACAUCGGAAUCUACUUUUUCGUGGGGGAUAACGUAGGGAAACUUACGCUAAUACCGCAUACGACCUACGGGUGAAAGCAGGGGAUCUUCGGACCUUGCGCGAUUGGAUGAGCCGAUGUCGGAUUAGCUAGUUGGCGGGGUAAAGGCCCACCAAGGCGACGAUCCGUAGCUGGUCUGAGAGGAUGAUCAGCCACACUGGAACUGAGACACGGUCCAGACUCCUACGGGAGGCAGCAGUGGGGAAUAUUGGACAAUGGGCGCAAGCCUGAUCCAGCCAUACCGCGUGGGUGAAGAAGGCCUUCGGGUUGUAAAGCCCUUUUGUUGGGAAAGAAAAGCAGCAGGUUAAUACCCCGCUGUUCUGACGGUACCCAAAGAAUAAGCACCGGCUAACUUCGUG